rnacentral:rRNA from 1 species
AGCGAACGUUUGCGGCGGGCUUAACACAUGCAAGUCGAACGAGAAUCCCUUCGGGGAGGAAAGUGGCGCACGGGUGCGUAACACGUGGAUAACCAACCCAUUGGUUUGGGACAACACCGGGAAACUGGUGCUAAUACCAGAUGUGUCGCAGCUGUCUUCAGGCGGUUGCGAGAAAGGCCCGCAAGGGUCGCCAACGGACGGGUCCGCGUCCCAUCAGCUAGUUGGUGAGGUAAUGGCUCACCAAGGCAAAGACGGGUAGCUGGUCUGAGAGGAUGAUCAGCCACACUGGAACUGAGACACGGUCCAGACUCCUACGGGAGGCAGCAGUGGGGAAUAUUGCGCAAUGGGCGAAAGCCUGACGCAGCCACGCCGCGUGAGCGAUGAAGGUCCUCGGAUCGUAAAGCUCUGUGGGGGGAGAAGAAGAAAGCCGGUGAAGAGCCGGCCCUCGACGGUAGUCCCCUUACGCAAGACACCGGCUAACUCCGUGCCAGCAGCCGCGGUAAAGUAG